GACGAACGCUGGCGGCGUGCUUAACACAUGCAAGUCGAACGGAAAGGCCCUGCUUGCAGGGUGCUCGAGUGGCGAACGGGUGAGUAACACGUGGGUGAUCUGCCCCUUACUUUGGGAUAAGCCUGGUAAACUGGGUCUAAUACUGGAUAGGACCAUGCUGUAGGUGGUGUGGUGGAAAGAUUAGUUUCGGUAAGGGAUGAGCUCGCGGCCUAUCAGCUUGUUGGUGGGGUAAUGGCCUACCAAGGCGUCGACGGGUAGCCGGCCUGAGAGGGUGGACGGCCACAUUGGGACUGAGAUACGGCCCAGACUCCUACGGGAGGCAGCAGUGGGGAAUAUUACACAAUGGGCGCAAGCCGGAUGCAGCGACGCCGCGUGGGGGAUGACGGCCUUCGGGUUGUAAACUCCUUUCAGCCAUGACGAAGCCCUUGUGGUGACGGUAGUGGUAGAAGAAGCACCGGCUAACUACGUG
rnacentral:rRNA from 1 species